rnacentral:tRNA from 1 species
AGCCCCGAGGUGUACUUACAUAUCGGAUUGCAAAUCUGAAGAAGCAGGCUAAUCGCCCGCCGGGGCUU